rnacentral:rRNA from 1 species
GACGAACGCUGGCGGCGUGCUUAACACAUGCAAGUCGAACGGAAAGGCCCUGCUUUUGUGGGGUGCUCGAGUGGCAAACGGGUGAUUAACACGUGAGUAACCUGCCCUUGACUUUGGGAUAACUUCAGGAAACUGGGGCUAAUACCGGAUAGGAGCUCCUGCUGCAUGGUGGGGUUUGGAAAGUUUCGGCGGUUGGGGAUGGACUCGCGGCUUAUCAGCUUGUUGGUGGGGUAGUGGCUUACCAAGGCUUUGACGGGUAGCCGGCCUGAGAGGGUGACCGGCCACAUUGGGACUGAGAUACGGCCCAGACUCCUACGGGAGGCAGCAGUGGGGAAUAUUGCACAAUGGGCGGAAGCCUGAUGCAGCAACGCCGCGUGCGGGAUGACGGCCUUCGGGUUGUAAACCGCUUUCGCCUGUGACGAAGCGUGAGUGACGGUAAUGGGUAAAGAAGCACCGGCUAACUACGUG